rnacentral:rRNA from 1 species
GACGAACGCUGGCGGCGUGCUUAACACAUGCAAGUCGAACGGAAAGGCCCUGCUUUUGUGGGGUGCUCGAGUGGCGAACGGGUGAGUAACACGUGAGUAACCUGCCCUUGACUUUGGGAUAACUUCAGGAAACUGGGGCUAAUACCGGAUAGGAGCUCCUGCUGCAUUGUGGGGGUUGGAAAGUUUCGGCGGUUGGGGAUGGACUCGCGGCUUAUCAGCUUGUUGGUGGGGUAGUGGCUUACCAAGGCUUGGACGGGUAGCCGGCCUGAGAGGGUGACCGGCCACAUUGGGACUGAGAUACGGCCCAGUCUCCUACGGGAGGCAGCAGUGGGGAGUAUUGCACAAUGGGCGGAAGCCUGAUGCAGCAACGCCGCGUGCGGGAUGACGGCCUUCGGGUUGUAAACCGCUUUCGCCUGUGACGAAGCGUGAGUGACGGUAAUGGGUAAAGAAGCACCGGCUAACUACGUG